UCCUUGGGGGUCAGAAUCAUCUUGCCUUUAUAUCUGCAUUAUGAGGGCACAAGGCUUCACACAUAGUGCCUAAUGAAUGCUCUUUUUUUUUUUUUGAUCCCUCCCCGUCUAUUUUAGAAUCAAUACUAAAUAUUGGUUCCAGGGCAGAACAGCAGCAAGGGCCUGGAAACUGGGAUUACGUGACGGGCCCAGGGUUAUACUAAUGAAUACCUUUUUCUUCCUUCUUUCAAAUUUUUAUCAAAUGGCUGCCAUUUGUAUGGCCCUGACAUAUCAGCUAGGGAGAUGAAGGAAAGUUUCCCUUCAGGGUCUCCUUCUUGAGGUCUCUGCCACCUUCUCCUCCUGUAUAUUUUCUUCUUUCUACAUUUCCAUGGAUGUCCACUCUGUUCUCCUCCUAGCUGCAUGAUGCUGUCUCCUCAGACUCUGUUGUUAAGUUUCAUGACUAUCACAUCUCUAACCUCUUGGGGGUGAUUUCAGACUCAAUCUUAGACCCUCUUUUCUUCUUUCUCUGCCUUUUCUUGGGGACCUCCCUAUCACUCAGCAUUCAAGUUGUACCCCUGUACAGAUGACUCCCAGAUCAGUCUAGCCAUCCCUAAUCUCUUCCCCAAACUUUCCUUCUGAAUCAUCAACUUCCUAAAGGACAUUUCAAGCAACAUGUUCUGUCAACUUCUCCAAUACAACCUGCUCCAAAUGGAAUUCAUUGCCUUCUUCCUCUCCUAAACGUAACCUGUCAAGGGCAUUAGCGUUCUUCCAAUGACACAGCUUUGAUGGCAUGCUCCAUUUACCACUUCCUAAUACUACAUAAUCAAACAGGUGUCAGAUCUUGACACAUCUCCCUCUUCAACCUCUCUCCACUCACCCUAGCCACUCUAAUUUGGGGCCACAUCUAUUGUCACUAUUCUUAUCUUUGCUUUUUAAUCAUCUCCAUCCUCCAGGUCUCUCUGCCUCACUCCAAUCUAAUUAUCCUUAAGUAUAGCCUGACAAUUAAAACUCAAUAAACUCUAGAGUUGCCCACUUCCUCUGGAUCCGACAGAAAUAGGUUUGUUUGGUAUUUAAGACUUUCUGACAUAGCUCUCAUUACCUUUCCGUCUUAAUGAACAUCUCUCCCUGCUCCUUGUAGCAAAAGUUGUGGGCUCAUUCUCCCAGUCCCACCCGUACAAGGAUGGCGAGGCUCCCAGAUGAGCAGGUUGGGCCCCCAGAGCUCAGUCACAUAUUUACUCAGAGUUUAAGGGGUAACCUGAUGAAUUGGAAGGAUGUCAUGUAAUUGCUUACAAGUCUUCAUUGCCAUGUUACUCCAUCGAUCAUCCGUGUAUUCAUGUAUAUUGAUUCUGAAUAAAAUGUGUUGAAAGCAUUUCGUAAAUGAAAGGUCUUGGCAUCAUUAGUAAUAUUUAUAGACAAAGACAGAAUUACUGAAUAUUUGUCAUGUGCCAUAUUAUGCAAUAUUUACUGUCCUACCUAUGAAAUGAUGUCUCCUGAUUGUAGACUGAAGCACAUGUCCUUUAUCAGAAGCUGACUCAAUAAGCAUUGUAAAGUUCUUUUCAGCAGAGAUAUUGUUUGCUUAUGGUUUUUGUAUUCCUGUACUCCCAACGUCUUUUCUCAGCCCCUGCCCUUCUCAGAUCCUAAACAUUUCAUUUUUCUUGAAAUCACCUACUGUUAUUUUCUGUAUCCUUUGUACGGAUUUCUCUCUCUAGUGUUGUAUCCCCUAGUAGAAAAUGCGGUCCUUGAGAGAAGAGACCUUCAAAAUGUUUUGGUUUGUAUAUCAUUGGUAGCUAACAUAGAACUGAGGACAUCAUGAAAAGCCCUCUAAGAGGUCUUGGAUGUCAUCUAAUCCCACCCCUUUCUUUCGAGGAGGUAGCUAUUGAGUAUCAGAGAAGUUAAGACAUUUUUCCAAGGUCAAAUGGCCAUUAAGUGGCAAAGUGGAGAUGCAAAGCCACAUCCUUUGAUAUAAACUCCCAAACUCUUUCCAUUGUACCACGGAGUUUAUUAAUUAUAGCCUUUGUUUCUUGAGCUGAAUAUGCAUUCGUCUUUUCCAGGAUAAGGCUGUCAAACUUUCUGUUCAUGUUUCUGAAAUAAUUUGCUCGAAAAUAAUCCCUUUUUGUUGGUUAUCCCUCCUGCCUGGAAUGAACUCUCUCCCUUCCUGCCCUCCUCUUAGAAUCACAUUUCCUUUAAGUCUCAGCUCAAGUCUCACCCUCUUCUACAUGAAGUAUUCCAUGGCUCUCCCAGUGGUUAGUGGCAUCCUCUUCAAAUCACCCCUCAUUAUUUCCAAUGAUCCCUAUGUGUGUGUGUGUGUGUGUGUACAAACACAUAUUUACAUACACGUAUGUAUCUAAGUCCAUAUUUGUACAUAUAUGUAUGUGUAUCUGUCUUAUCUAUAUGUCAAGACAUAGAAAUAGAUCGACGUAGAUAGAUGUGCACACAUAAACAUACAUGUUAUCUCCUCUAGGUAGACUGUAAACUCCUCCAGAUCCGGGAUUGCUUCAUUUUUGUCUUUGAAUCCUGAGUGUCUAUCACCCGGGCACUAGCGUAUAGUUGGUAAUUUAUAAAUGUUUCUUAACUGAUUACCAACUAUACGCCAGUGCCUGUGUAAUAGGAUGGCAACUAAUACAGGCUACUUGGUUGAUUGCUCUGCUUAAUUAUUGUCUUAUGUCAUCGAAUGUUCAAUGCUUAAGAAUCGUAAGAUGCUCCCAAAUCAUCCUUUGGGAUUUGGGGGAAUCCUGUGUUUGGAGCGAAUAAUAGACAGCUUUAUGUCUCUCUGGAUCUCCUUGCUCUUCAUUUGCAGAAAUUGCCACAGCUGCAGCCUUCGUCAACCACCAUCCCGAGCAGUCAGCAGCCAUCAACCUCAAGGCAAGACCCGUCACCAGCAAAAGCUUAUCAUUCACUGAAGGCUCAGAUCAUGGUGAUCGUUUCUUAGCAAUAAAUGAUUUUUAAUUAAAA